rnacentral:rRNA from 1 species
AAAGGUAAGCUACUAAGAGCGAAUGGUGGAUGCCUUGACUGGUAAAGGCGAUGAAGGACGUACUAGACUGCGAUAAGCUACGGGGAGCUGUCAAGAAGCUUUGAUCCGUAGAUUUCCGAAUGGGGCAACCCAAUGUAUAGAGAUAUACAUUACCUAUAUAGGAGCGAACGAGGGGAAUUGAAACAUCUUAGUACCCUCAGGAAAAGAAAUCAAUAGAGAUUGCGUCAGUAGCGGCGAGCGAAAGCGCAAGAGGGCAAACCCAGUGCUUGCACUGGGGGUUGUAGGACUGCAAUGUGCAAGAGGUGAGUUUAGCAGAACAUUCUGGAAAGUAUAGCCAUAGAGGGUGAUAGUCCCGUAUGCGAAAAACAAACCUUAGCUAGCAGUAUCCUGAGUAGGGCGGGACACGAGAAAUCCUGUCUGAAGCUGGGUCGACCACGAUCCAACCCUAAAUACUAAUACCAGAUCGAUAGUGCACAAGUACCGUGAGGGAAAGGUGAAAAGAACUGAGGUGAUCAGAGUGAAAUAGAACCUGAAACCAUUUGCUUACAAUCAUUCAGAGCCCUAUGUAGCAAUACAG